rnacentral:rRNA from 1 species
UGCAGCCUCAGCCAUAUCACCCUACAGCCCAAGACCGGUUGGUUACAUAAGCUAAGCAGGGCUGAGCCUGGUCAGUACCUGGAUGGGAGACCACAUGGGAAAACUAGGUUGCUGCUGGAA